AGUGCAAGAAUGGCCUGUGUCUCGGUUACCGCAAAGGACUCGCAAGCCUCCGCCAGCCCCGGGGUGGAGGCCACAGGAGCACUGACGUCGUGGUAUCAGAAAGGCGGACAGUGCAGCCUUAGUGUUCCCCAGGGGUGGGAGGAAGCUCCCGGCCCCGUCCCCACCCCGCCUCGCUUCCCAGGGAGCGGCGGUUGGGCAGGAGCGGGGCAGAAAUCCGCCGCCGGGCCCGGGGAGGGGACCAGGCCGCGCCCAUCUCCCAGGCCUCUGGCUGCAGCAGGCCCGCUGGGUGGUCGGCGAGGCCCGGGGGCGCCGCGUCGAGCUGCGGUCCCCUCCCUCAACCUUCCCGGGCGCCGCCACCCCUUUUCCCCCCAGCACCAGGGUACCUGCACGGCGCGACUGAGGAAGGUGCCUGCGUCGGCCGCCAGCUUCUUCACGUUGAAGUCCAUGAUAUUCAUCCUAGGCGGCAGCCGGGCGGAGCCGGCCGACCUAGCGGCGGCGAGGCGGAGGUGCCGCGGCCGGGCUGGGGCGCAGGGCUAGAGCGGCGAGGGCAGACGUGGUAGGUGGAGGGAGGCGGCGCCAGCCCCGCAGCCGCAGCUGUCGUUUCCGUGAACGGGGAGGAUGAAGGCGGGGCGAGGGAGGAGAACAAGCGCGCGGCGGCAGCGCCAAGGAUGGGUCAGUCGGCUCGGAGAACGGCCGCUAACGUCGACGAUGGGCCCCGCGGGCGAGCCGGAGAUGGACGGGCGACCCCGCCGUGUGGACCCGGGUCCCAAGGGAAAAACAAGCGCGGGCCGCGGGGCGGAGCCUUUCUCGAGGUUAUCGCGGGAACAGCGACCCCUUGAGGAUUGCGGCGGCGCAGCCCCGGGGCGCGCCGGGAGCUCCGCCCGGCUCCUGUGGAGGAAGCGGCGAGGGCGAGCCGCGGGGUCUCGGCGCCUCUGUAUGCUUGCACUUAACGAGAACCCAGAGCGAACACGACCCACAUUUCUCUUUUUGUUUUAAGAGGAAAUAUAGGAGUUACAGCAUAGAAUUACAAUAUCUGGACAUUAGAAAUAACAGGUCCCGGUCACGGUAUGGCACCGCGCGACACACUUGGUCCCUGAGGCCUGGAUGCCGCUCAGCAAACGUUCGCGGAAUAGGGUUGGGUUUACUGUCCCCCACCGAGCCGGUUGCUCAUUCAUUCAGCAUAAUUGAAUACCUCCUGUGUGCCAGGCACUGAAUCAAGUGUCGGAGACAAUGUCCUGCCCUCAAGCUCCUGGCCGGUUACUUGACAACCUUCCGGGACCUCAACGCUAUGUGCCUACUGUGUGAAAGCAAAGUGCCAGGUGGAGGACACAAAGAUGGCGAGCGACACAGGAUAGUCCUUAACAAUUAAGCGUGACUAAUUUUAAUAACAAAUGAGAAUAUGAUGUGACAUCCGUUCCAAAUCCUGUCGUUCCAAGUAACUUCUUAAGCAUCUUUCACGAUACAGCCUCUGCUUGAAAGGAAUUAAAACAGGUACAAGCAUGGAAGGAGACGUUGCUAUCAUAUUUCAAGAAUAAGAAAAUGCUGUUUUGUGUGGUUGUGCAGCAGGCAAUGAAAUGAGCUUACAUUCAAGCUUCCGUGUUUUACUGAAACAACAGUCACAGAUGCAGUAGAUGUUAAAGGUUGAAAGACGAGUGCAGUAAAAGCAUUAUGAGGACAAGAAGAAAACGUAAAUAUUUGUGUUGUUUCAUUCUUUGUUGUGGUGGCAGAAACAGCCCCCUCUUUCUAAGAGUAAGGAAGGACUGAAAGGAGGAGAAACUAUGGGUUGCCUUUUCCUUCUGUCAUCUGUUCAGCAUUUCAUAGUAAAACCUUUGUUGAUUUAAUAAACAUAAUGGAUACUCAUUAAAAUAUUCAAACAGCAUAGAAAGGGACAAAGAAGAAAGCAGCCAGCAAUCCAAGUACCACUAUCCAGAAAUAGCCAGUGAUAUCUCUUUAUGUGUGGAAAUACAAUGAAAAUUGAGUGAGAGACAUACACAGAGGAAGAAGAAAAAGAAAGCAAUCAAACUCCAAAUGGUGCUGCAAACUGAACCCCACAUGGACACGCCAUUCUUCUGAGGACCCUUAGAUCCACCCCAGGAGGAGCCCUAGCUGCUGUUCCCCAUUCGAUGCCCCUUUUCAGCCGUAAGUAGCCAGAAGAAGUCAUCGCUCCAAACCCUCUAACAGCAGUUAGUGUGGCCUCUCCCCGGUGGGGGGGAAUGUUGUAGGAGUUAUUAAGAAAUUAUUUUAGGCAGAUAGAGAGGAAAAGGGGUCCUUGGGAAGUUUUCAUUUUUAAAAGCAUCUCUGGAAAUAUUUCUUGUAAAGCCCCCGCUCUUAGAGCCAGGCCGGCAACCUUUGAUAUGCAAAUACAGGCUAUUAGAAACUGCGUCCACCCAAACAUGGUAAUUCCUGCAGCCUUCUUGCCCUUGCCCCACAUGUUCCUGGCAACAUGCCUACCCCCACAUAUCCCCACGUGUGUAGAACAUCAUGAUGCCUUACAUUUGCAUAUUAAAAGGCUAGGAUGGGAGCGCCAGCUUUUUCAUGGGCUAUGUGAAUGACAUGCCUAGUCAAAUCAAUCUCCUGAGCCCUGUGCAAAUCGGACACCAGCUCCUCCAGCCUCUGCAUAUAUACCUGGCUGGUGUCUAUUGCAUUUGGGGUUUCCUCUCUUGGCUUUGGAGCCCCCCCACCCUCUGUCUCUGUACAGGGGAGCUUCUUCCUUCUGCCUUCUUCCUUCUUCCUGGCCUAUUAAACUCUCCACUCAUUCAAACAAACAAAAAAAGUUCAAUUUAAAGAAAAAAUUGAACAUCUAUACAUUUAAAAUAAAGUCAUUAAACUGAAAACUUAAUGGACUAACUAACGGC
rnacentral:lncRNA from 1 species